GAAUUUAGUUUAAAAACAAUACAGAUUGUGGUUAGAGCAUCCGACCGGUGUACGGAAGGUCAUGGGUUCGAAUCCCAUCGGGGACU